rnacentral:rRNA from 1 species
CACGUAGGGGGCGAGCGUUGUCCGGAUUUAUUGGGCGUAAAGAGCUCGUAGGCGGCUCGGUAAGUCGGGUGUGAAAACUCUAGGCUCAACCUAGAGACGCCACCCGAUACUGCUGUGGCUAGAGUCCGGUAGGGGAGCAUGGAAUUCCUGGUGUAGCGGUGAAAUGCGCAGAUAUCAGGAGGAACACCGGUGGCGAAGGCGGUUCUCUGGGCAUGUCCUGACGGCUGAGGAGCGAAAGUGUGGGGAGCGAACAGG